UUGAGGUUCGGCCAAUCCCAGUAGUCGCGGUGACGUCAUUACGUUGUUCCCCUCAGCGCGCUGUGUUGUAAUUAGUGGCUGCAGCAUUCAGGUGUGCAGGAGCGGUGGGGAAGCCACACACGAGAGAGCUGCAGGAGCCCCUUAUCGUAGCAAAAUCAGAGACGGACGACGGAGUGAGAGAGUAGAUGCAAAUCGUGGAACUGGCCAGGUCCUUGAUUGAUGGCGAGCUAAUGGAGCCCUGAACCUAAAGCAAAGCAACUGCAGAAGAAUCGAGUCGCACCUCUCCUGCCAGGCUGGUAGGGGGCUCUUUGUGGCCCACAAACUCUCCCCACUCAAAACCUUGAAUUGUCAGCCUUGCCCACAUACAAUCUUUUUUUCCACAAACCCCUCCUAUGCACACUCUUCCUCCUGGACAAUCACAUUCAACCCAGACGUGGGUUACAUGAACUGUGGGUUGGGUUGGUACAUUGGGAUCAAUUUCCCAAGUGUUGAGAAUUUUGUGGACUCAUUGGUGCUUUGCAUUGACAUUCGAAUUGUAUAUCAAUGUUUCUGAGUUAUGUCCUGAAGUUGUAUAGUUAAUGAAUUAUUUUGAAUAUUCAUUAUUGAAUGGCCAUUUAUGAGUUAUUGUUUGUUAUUCACUGUAAAUAUUUGCACUGUUGGUUGUCUUAUAUGGUUAAAGAAAUAUUCAAUAUAUGGUACCUGCAAACACAAAA